rnacentral:misc_RNA from 1 species
AACGCACAUUGCGCCCGUUAGUAUUCUAGCGGGCAUGCCUGUUCGAGCGUCAUUUCAACCCUCAAGCUUUGCUUGGUGUUGGGGUACUAUAAUUUUUUAUAGGCCCUGUAACCUAGUGGCGGAUCAUCUGUAAUCCUGAGCGUAGUAGCAUACCAAUCGCUUUGGGUAUUACGGGUUAGAUUCUUAUGCCGUAAAAACCACUUUUUCUUAAGGUUGACCUCGGAUCAGGUAGGAAUACCCGCUGAACUUAA